rnacentral:rRNA from 1 species
CUACGGGAUGCAGCAGUGGGGAAUAUUGGACAAUGGGGGAAACCCUGAUCCAGCAAUGCCGCGUGUGUGAAGAAGGCCUGCUGGUUGUAAAGCACUUUCGGUUGGGAGGACUGCUUCUAGCACUAAUAUUGUUGGAAGUUGACGUUACCUUCAGAAGAAGCACCGGCUAACUCCGUGCCAGCAGCCGCGGUAAUACGGAGGGUGCAAGCGUGAAUCGGAAUUACUGGGCGUAAAGCGCGCGUAGGCGGCUAGAUCAGUCGGGUGUGAAAGCCCCGGGCUUAACCUGGGAACUGCAUCCGAUACUGUCUAGCUUGAGUACAGGAGAGGAGAGUGGAAUUCCACAUGUAGCGGUGAAAUGCGUAGAUAUGUGGAGGAACACCAAUGGCGAAGGCAGCUCUCUGGCCCGAUACUGACGCUGAGGUGCGAAAGCGUGGGGAGCAAACAGGAUUAGAUACCCCAGUAGUC